rnacentral:rRNA from 1 species
UACGUAGGUGGCGAGCGUUGUCCGGAUUUACUGGGCGUAAAGGGCGUGCAGGCGGUUUGUUAAGUGCAGGGUGAAAGCUCCCGGCUCAACUGGGAGAGGUCCUUGCAUACUGGCGAACUCGAGGGAGGCAGAGGAAAGUGGAAUUCCCGGUGUAGUGGUGAUAUGCGUAGAUAUCGGGAGGAACACCAGUGGCGAAGGCGGCUCUCUGGGCCCUACCUGACGCUGAGACGCGAAAGCGUGGGGAGCGAACCGG